rnacentral:lncRNA from 1 species
AUGACCUGGAAAGAUGCCACAAGUCAUAUCCAGUUCCUUGAUCCAGUGUAUGUGGUAGUGUUCAGAAAGUGCCGGGCUGUCAGCAGGUUGCGUGAGGUUAAACAGUCACAUCUGGAGUGCUUCUCUGCCGUGACGUGUCUGAACCUCUGCAGCUCCGUGUCUGGCCCUGCUCCUUGUUGUUGCCUACAGGAACGCACAGAGGAAAAAGAGAAGCCCUUCUUAAACACUGGACCUGCAGGAACCCUCAGUUCAUCACUACAUCAAUGUGCCGCUGGUGGCAAUGCUUGCAUAUAUCUACUGUAUACUUUUGUGAAGGCAAACUGAGACAACAAGAUGGGCCAUGAACUGCCACAAAGUCACUUAUAUAGCAUCACUUCCUCCAAGGAGCCUGAAGCUCUUCAACCCCACGAAGCGGUGACAGUUUUGUUCAAGGGAGCAGCAGGAAAAUAAGACACAAAGUCCCUGCCUCUCCUGUUGCCAUGUAACUGCUGGGGCUCAUCCGAGCUCAGCUAGAACAGGCUUUUUAAGCAGCAAUUAAUUUUGAUAAGGUUGCCAGACUAUGUUGCUCCUGCUUGCAUCACACUGGAAGGCUACAGAAUCUGAAGGAGCCUCCAUCUAGUCUCUGAAAUAAAACCUACAGCAGAACACUUUUGAGUUGACUU